GGGUGAGUAACGCGUAAGGAACUUGCCUCUUGGACUGGGACAACUGUUGGAAACGACAGCUAAUACCGGAUAUUAUGAGAUUCUCGCAUGAGAAACUUAUGAAAGCUAUAUGCGCCAAGAGAGAGCCUUGCGUUCCAUUAGCUAGUUGGUGGGGUAAUGGCCCACCAAGGCGACGAUGGAUAGCCGGCCUGAGAGGGUGAACGGCCACAAGGGGACUGAGACACGGCCCUUACUCCUACGGGAGGCAGCAGUGGGGAAUAUUGGACAAUGGGCCACAAGCCUGAUCCAGCAAUUCUGUGUGCACGAUGAAGGUCUUCGGAUUGUAAAGUGCUUUCAGUUGGGAAGAAGAAAGUGACGGUACCAACAGAAGAAGCGACGGCUAAAUACGUGCCAGCAGCCGCGGUAAUACGUAUGUCGCAAGCGUUAUCCGGAUUUAUUGGGCGUAAAGCGCGUCUAGGCGGAAAAAUAAGUCUGAUGUUAAAAUGCGGGGCUCAACUCCGUAUUGCGUUGGAAACUGUUUUUCUAGAGUACUGGAGAGGUGGGCGGAACUACAAGUGUAGAGGUGAAAUUCGUAGAUAUUUGUAGGAAUGCCGAUGGAGAAGUCAGCUCACUGGACAGAUACUGACGCUGAAGCGCGAAAGCGUGGGGAGCAAAC
rnacentral:rRNA from 1 species